rnacentral:rRNA from 1 species
UGCCCUAGUAACGGCGAGUGAAGCGGCAACAGCUCAAAUUUGAAAUCUGGCGCCUUCGGUGCCCGAGUUGUAAUUUGUAGAGGGUAGCUCGAGCCCGCCCCCGUCUAAGUCCCCUGGAACGGGGCGUCGUAGAGGGUGAGAAUCCCGUAUGCGACGGGGUGGCGUGCUCGUGUGAGCUCCCUUCGACGAGUCGAGUUGUUUGGGAAUGCAGCUCUAAAUGGGAGGUAAAUUCCUUCUAAAGCUAAAUACCGGCCAGAGACCGAUAGCGCACAAGUAGAGUGAUCGAAAGAUGAAAAGCACUUUGGAAAGAGAGUUAAAAAGCACGUGAAAUUGUUGAAAGGGAAGCGCUCACGACCAGACUCGGGUGCGGCUGCUCAGCCGGUCUUCUGACCGGUGCAUCGGUUGUACCCGGGCCAGCAUCGGUUCGGGCGGUCGGAUAAAGGCCUCGGGAACGUAGCUCCUCUCGGGGAGUGUUAUAGCCCGGGGCGCAAUGCGGCCUGCCCGGACCGAGGAACGCGUUCGCUAGGAUGCUGGCGUAAUGGUCGUUAGCGGCCCGUCUUGAAACACGGACCAAGGAGUCUACCAUCUGUGCGAGUAUUAGGGUGUCAAACCCUUGUGCGUAAUGAAAGUGAACGGAGGUGGGAACCCUUUGGGUGCACCAUCGACCGAUCCAGAUGUCCUCGGACGGAUUUGAGUAAGAGCACCGCUGGUGGGACCCGAAAGAUGGUGAACUAUGCGCGGAUAGGGUGAAGCCAGAGGAAACUCUGGUGGAGGCUCGCAGCGGUUCUGACGUGCAAAUCGAUCGUCAAAUCUACGCAUAGGGGCGAAAGACUAAUC